GUAGCUGCUUCCUGUUCUGUGGGAUUAAUAUAUGAAAAUAUUCAGAUAUCAUAUUUUGGGAAUAAUCAUAAGUGUAGAUCUAAGGGAGUCAUAGAAAAUGUGUGUGGAUCAGAGGAUAUCGAUAUUUAGUCUAAAACGUACUAAUUUAGGUGAGUCCACCUUGCAGUGGAGACUGUGCUAAAGAGCUGUGGUACCAGGCCUCCUUACUGCCCAUAUUACUGCAGAGGAUAGAGUGGAGGUAUAGAUGGUAAAGAGCCUUCAAAUACAAAACAACCAAUUUACUGAUUUUCUUUUGAUUUAUGUUGUCAACUUGUGAUAGUUCUAGAAGCCUAUGAGAACUAUAAGACAUGGGACUUAGUUUAUUUUUAAAGAUUCAGCAGCAGAUUAUUAUAGUGUAGUUUAUUUUCAUACUCUACAUUCUUUUUUUUUUUUGGCUUUCUCUAGGGCUGCACUUGCAGCAUAUGGAGCUUCCCAGGUUAGGGAUCUAAUCGGAGCUGUAUCCGCCGGUCUUCAUCACAGCCACAGCAACACGAGCUCAUCGUUCCUGGUUGGAUUCAUUAACCACUGAGCCAUGACGGGAACUCCCAUACUCUACAUUCUAAAGACUCAGGUAAACCCUGAAGUAAAAAUUUGUUUGUUUCCUUUGUAGUCAAUCUAUCAAAAAGACACAAAGUACAAAAAAAACUUCCAAGAGUCUGACCAAUAUCCUCAACACUAAUAAUUAAGUAGAUUACUCUAACAAAGUAUUCUUUUGUUUAUAAGAAUCUUUUACAUAUAUUUUCUCCUUUAAUCAUCAAAGAAGACACAAAUAAUAGAUAUUUUAAUAUCAUUUUCAAAUGAAAAUCCUGAGGAUCAUUGCUCUGAAGCUUUCUGAUUUCCUGUCCAGAUGAUUUCCACUGUGCUACAAACUGUAACCCAAACAUACAAAACACUAUGCCAGUGCUUCCCAAUUUCUAGUCUCUAGAGAAGAACAGAACCUCUGGAGAAGGUGCCAUAGGUGUGCAGGAAAAUGAGAAAUAUAUGUUUAUUUGUAAAUUUCCCAUAAUGCUCCUUUCAUAAAGAUAUAUAGAGUUAUCAUCAUGGCUCAGUUGUUAAUGAACCCAACUAAUAUCCAUGAGGACGUGGGUUCAAUCCCUCACCUUGUUCAGUGGGUUAAGAAUCCAGCAUUGACACGAGCUGCAGUGUAGGUCACAGACAUGGCUCAGAUCCUGCUUUGCUCUGGCUGUGGUGUAGGCCAGCGGCUACAGCUCCUAUUCAAUCCCUGGCCUGGGAACAGCCCUAAAAAAACAAAACAAAACAAAAUUGUAUAUGAUUCCGAGAUUGUUUUUCCUAUUUCUUUGGUGUUAAGGUGCCCUCUUUUAUAAAAUGAUAUUGUAGAGUUGACAUUUAAGAGUUCUUACUUAACAAUAGUCAUGAGUAUGGAGACUGCAUAUCAGCUACUGUUUGUUUUUAACUGACCAGUUAUAGUAGAAAAUGACAGAUCAACUGUAACAGAGAAAUGUGGUAUUGGUAAAAUUGGCACCUGGUACUUCCAGACCACUUUUAGACAGUAGGCUUAUUGUUAAGGGAAGAUUUUGGCCCUUUUCCUGAGCAGCUGUAAUCUAAUCAGUAUCUGGGAAAGAUCCUAGAUUCAGAACAAGAGGUCAAAGUUCCACAUGAAAUAGAAAGCAGAAAUAAGAGUCAGGUUGCUGGAAUAAGAAACAAGAAAAUCAAGAUUCCUUGGAAGGGAGAAAUUUUGUGGGCAGCAGGUUAAGGAUCCAACAGUGUGACUUCAGGGGUUAGUGGCUUGGGUUGAUGAUGCAGUUCCAUUGCUGGCCCAGGAAUUUCCGCAUGCAAGGAGCACAGAAAAAAAAUUAAAAAUGAAAAAAUCCUAUAGGAAUUCUAGAUUGUCCCCUUUAAUUAAUGAAACUAUGAUGGAUAUCUCCAUUGAGAUGAAGGCUGUAUAUUACAGGCACGGAGAAUGAGAAAAUAAGACUUAGUCCAGACUACAAAGACUAGAAACCUAUAUUUGAGGAAGUCCCACAUUAACUCAUUCUUCUCAAUGUACUGUCAUUGUACACAUAGCUGUUGCUGUUAUCACCAAUCAAAACAGAACCCCUCCAAAGACUCCUUCCCUUCAUUUCUUAACUUACAUUUACAAAGAACAUAGGUUGGAUCAAGAUAUACAGCUCCAAAAAUGGAAUGUUUGUGUGUUCCCUGCGGUUUGGUGGUGCAGGGAGGGAGGGGAGUGGAGGAAGGGAGAGGAUGAGAUUAUAAAUAGAAUGUUCUGAUUUUAGUAUUUUCUCCUAUGAAUUUCUCUUCAGUUUUUUAAUGUGUGCUAGCAUUUGUACCAGCAGCUACCAAAAAUGCUUGAGAAAGAAAUAAUCUCCAGGAUUAAAAUAAAUAAGCUUGGAUUUCCCAUUGUGGUUCACAGGUAAUGAACCUGACUAGUAUCCAUGAGGACGUGGGUUCAAUCCCUGGCCUCAUACAGUGGGUUAAAGGAUCCAGCAUUGCCAUGAGCUGUGGUGUAGGUCGCAGACAUGGAUCACAUCUGGGGUUGCUGCAGCUGUGAUGUUGGCCAGAGGCUACGCCUCCAAUUAGACCCCAGCCUUGGAACUUUUAUAUGCCAAGAGUGCAGCCCUUAAAAAAAAGGACCAAAAAUAAAAUAAAUAAGCUGUAUAAGAUGAUUCCUAAGUUUUUGGUUUGGGCAGGGGCUAUAUUUGCAUGUGACUUAAUAUAUUUACAUAUAGUCUAUUUUCCACAAUCCAUUUGUAGAUGAGUUUAAGGUGUGCUGUGAAGAGAGUACAUGAUGACUGUGGAAUGCUGUAGAAUACUGCACUUCACAGCAAAGUUGACAGUAGGGCUGAUGACUGUCUUAUUAUUAUGUAUUUAUCUCCUCUCAUGUGUGGAGUUAAAACUCUUAGUACUUUUGUUAAAAUGAACUCCCCAAAUAGUGCAUUUUGAAUAGCAUUUCUGGAGCUUCUUAAACUUUAAAAGAAAAAAAAAAAAAA
rnacentral:lncRNA from 1 species